rnacentral:rRNA from 1 species
UACGUAGGGUGCGAGCGUUGUCCGGAAUUAUUGGGCGUAAAGAGCUUGUAGGCGGUUUGUCGCGUCUGCUGUGAAAAUCCGGGGCUCAACUCCGGACUUGCAGUGGGUACGGGCAGGCUAGAGUGUGGUAGGGGAGACUGGAAUUCCUGGUGUAGCGGUGGAAUGCGCAGAUAUCAGGAGGAACACCGAUGGCGAAGGCGGCUCUCUGGAACGCAACUGACGCUGAGACGCGAAAGCGUGGGGAGCAAACAGG